AGGAAAGGAAAAGGAAAGGCCCAAAUCUGCUGUCACCACUGCAGCUGGAGCAAGAGCAGCCAGCUUUGAAAACAGGGAUCCUGCUGACUCAUGUUUAGAAACCGGGGAAGAGAGCUGCUUUGGUGCCCUGUCUGCCCUGCUCUCAUCUUCAGCCCCAUCUCAUCCUGGGGAUGUAUACGUAAACCCUGGGGUAAAGCAGGCUGCGAGGAUGAAAUGGUGCCAGUGGGGAUGAACCUGCAGCCCAGCCAGCAUUUGCUUUAUGAAGCCACGGGCUGCCCUUCCAACAAAGCAGGAGCAGCACAGUAUCAGCACAGCCCUCUUCAUGUCCAUGAGUGCUGGGAUCCAGGCAGGCAGAUCCUCGUGCCUGCAGGUCUCAUGCGAUUGCCAUUUAACAGCUGCUCCUGGCCUUUGCAUUUACAUGAUGGAAGGAGUGGGCCCCUGACCUGUGUGCUUCCAGAAAGGUGAAGGAGAAGGGAAGAACGAGAGAGAAACCAAAGGAGGAGGUUGCCAGCCCAGGGUGCUGAGAGCUCCCAUGUAACCCAGCUCUGCUGCUAGAUUACACUCUGACCUACACCUUUAUGCACCAUCCACCAGUGUGGUGUCCCACCCGUUCUGCUUGCUGAUGCUGAAAGGCAGGAAGCAGAAGGGAUGCUCCCAAGGGGCUGGCAUCUCUUCAAAUCAGAGACUCUGGCAACUGUUGCCUCACUGAAGAAAUUGCUAUCAUUUUUCUAAGUGGUUGGGUCAAUACAGGGGUGUCACUUGGGAAAUUUGGGAUUUAUUUCUCCCCACCAUCAACCCACUGGGAAUAAGUGACGCAGGCAGGUAGAUCCUCACUCAUAGAGCUGCUGCGGUGAUGAAGAUGAAGCAGUUCAGUACUGGUCCCAGUAAUGAUCCCUGAGGGAUGCCACUGUCAGUGAUCUCCAUCCACUGAGCCACUGAGCUCUGCUCUCUGGGUGGGAUCUCACAACCGUUCCUCAUCCAUUGAACAGCCCGCCUAUCAAAGCUGUACUUCUCCAAGUUAGAGACAAGGAUGUUGUUGGGGCCAAAUGCCUCACUGAAGCCCAAGCAGAUGACAUCAGUGGCUCUUCCAUUGCCCGUGGACACAGUUAUGCCAUCUGGUUGGAAAUGUUGGUUUCAAAUACUUCAAAGUGAACAUUUGGAGUUUUCAUAGCAAGAUGACAGUUUUGGUCCAAAUUGAAUCACACUGAUUUUAUAUAUAUAUAUUUUAUGCUAAUAAGUAAAUCCUCAGGGAAAUCUCUUCCACUCCAAAUGUGGACUGAAGGAAAUUGACAAACUCCAAAUGCUUCUCAGGGCUUUGUUUCUUGCUGCUGUUCGAUUUGAUAUCAUCAGUUUUGGAUAAAAAUGGGGUUUUAUUGGUUAUUUUGGUUAGAAAUGCUGAAAUGUUUCCUAGAGACAAGCCAGGCUCCAAGAAAUUUUCACCUGGGAGAUUAUUGUAGAGUUUAUUUUUAGAUGAUUUUUAGCAGAAGAUUGUUUUUAGAGUUCAUUCUGUAUUUUCUGCCAUUACCCCACCCGCUCCCUCCCUCCCCCCUUUACUCAAUGUGUGGUAAAGAUGGAAGAAAGCCUCUUUUGUGCUGACUGAAAUGCCUUGCACAGCAAGCACCAAAACCCCAGGCUGAGGUGCAGCAAGGGCAGGUGAACACUGUGCAAUGACCUCCCAGCCCAUUUCGUGUUCUGGUUGGGCACAUCUUCAUGUAAAAGCUGCGUUUGAAAUGAAAAGUCCAAGCAUUUCAUUUGCAGAUACACAGAAACGAAGCAUUUUGACUCUCUGUUCUUUUCCCUUUUCGAUCCAAAAGCUGCUCACCUAAUUUGCCUCAGCAAUGGGUUCUGCUGGCGUUUGCUACAAACUCCUUUCAAUAUUCAGUUCCCCCGAGCCCUGGGGAUAGGUUUGCUAUUUCAAAGCCAACCCACUGAGGACCUCAAGGCAGCGGUUGGAGCAAAGCUCACAGCCUCUCCCCUUGGAAAAGCCUUCCAAGUGCAAGUUUUUGGUCUUCAGCGCAGCACAACAAGGGAUAUUUUGGGAGCCAGCUUGUUCUCCUGGUAUCUUUCUUCUCCCUGCCUCCUGCUGCCACUUCGUGGCUUUUAUCUCUCUGCUCUCCCUCCUUUCAUGUCUCUGCUUUGGAGGUGAGAUGUGAUUCUCUGCUCCCCUUUCCAUGUGCCAAAGCCCAGGAGAUGCGCAGCAGCUCUGGGUCCUCUCCAGGGCCUUGUAAACCAUGAAACUGUGGGGAUGCUUGAAGCAAGAAGGACGAAUAUUCAGUGCACCCAGCAUCCUCUGAAUCCACUCAUUCAGUCCCACACUCUUUUGGUGGAGUGAUUUACAUGCUGCCUCUAGGAAGGCUGCAGAGUACUGGCCAGGGCUCGGCCAAUCGAGUACAAAGAUGUGAAUUAUUCCAACUUCAGCUUGAUUUGCUGGUAACCAAGCUCAUGCAGCCUGCGGGAAGAAUUUCAGCAUUGCAGUGUAUCACCAAGUUGCAAUAGCAUUGCAAUAAAAAUAUCAUCCUUGGUUGCA
ensembl:lncRNA